ACAUGCAAGUCGAGCGGACCGACGGGAGCUUGCUCCCUUAGGUCAGCGGCGGACGGGUGAGUAACACGUGGGUAACCUGCCUGUAAGACUGGGAUAACUCCGGGAAACCGGGGCUAAUACCGGAUGCUUGAUUGAACCGCAUGGUUCAAUCAUAAAAGGUGGCUUUUAGCUACCACUUGCAGAUGGACCCGCGGCGCAUUAGCUAGUUGGUGAGGUAACGGCUCACCAAGGCGACGAUGCGUAGCCGACCUGAGAGGGUGAUCGGCCACACUGGGACUGAGACACGGCCCAGACUCCUACGGGAGGCAGCAGUAGGGAAUCUUCCGCAAUGGACGAAAGUCUGACGGAGCAACGCCGCGUGAGUGAUGAAGGUUUUCGGAUCGUAAAACUCUGUUGUUAGGGAAGAACAAGUACCGUUCGAAUAGGGCGGUACCUUGACGGUACCUAACCAGAAAGCCACGGCUAACUACGUGCCAGCAGCCGCGGUAAUACGUAGGUGGCAAGCGUUGUCCGGAAUUAUUGGGCGUAAAGCGCGCGCAGGCGGUUUUCUUAAGUCUGAUGUGAAAGCCCCCGGCUCAACCGGGGAGGGUCAUUGGAAACUGGGGAACUUGAGUGCAGAAGAGGAGAGUGGAAUUCCACGUGUAGCGGUGAAAUGCGUAGAGAUGUGGAGGAACACCAGUGGCGAAGGCGACUCUCUGGUCUGUAACUGACGCU
rnacentral:rRNA from 1 species